UAAAAAGAAAGGUGCUGGGCCGAUCCAUC
rnacentral:piRNA from 1 species